rnacentral:rRNA from 1 species
UACGUAGGGGGCUAGCGUUGUCCGGAAUCAUUGGGCGUAAAGCGCGUGUAGGCGGCCCGGUAAGUCCGCUGUGAAAGUCGGGGGCUCAACCCUCGGAUGCCGGUGGAUACUGUCGGGCUUGAGUACGGAAGAGGCGAGUGGAAUUCCUGGUGUAGUGGUGAAAUGCGCAGAUAUCAGGAGGAACACCAAUUGCGAAGGCAGCUCGCUGGGACGUUACUGACGCUGAGACGCGAAAGCGUGGGGAGCAAACAGG